UACGUAGGGUGCGAGCGUUAAUCGGAAUUACUGGGCGUAAAGUGUGCGCAGGCGGCGCUGCAAGUCGAGUGUGAAAUCCCCGAGCUUAACUUGGGAAUUGCGCUCGAAACUACGGCGCUGGAGUAUGGCAGAGGAAGGUGGAAUUCCACGUGUAGCGGUGAAAUGCGUAGAGAUGUGGAGGAACACCGGUGGCGAAGGCGGCUUCCUGGACCGACACUGACGCUGAGGCGCGAAAGCUAGGGGAGCAAACGGG
rnacentral:rRNA from 1 species